rnacentral:rRNA from 1 species
UACGUAGGUGACAAGCGUUGUCCGGAUUUACUGGGCGUAAAGAGCGCGCAGGCGGUCGUUCAAGUCGAGUGUGAAAGCCCCCGGCUCAACUGGGGAGGGUCACUCGAUACUGAUCGACUGGAAGGCAGGAGAGGGAAGCGGAAUUCCCGGUGUAGUGGUGAAAUGCGUAGAUAUCGGGAGGAAUACCGAUGGCGAAGGCAGGUCUCUGGGCUAUAACUGACGCUCAUGCACGAAAGCGUGGGGAGCAAACAGG